GCUUGUCUCAAAGAUUAAGCCAUGCAUGUCUAAGUAUAAAUAGUGUACAUUGAAACUGCGAAUGGCUCAUUAAAACAGUUAUAGUUUAUUUGAUGAUGGUCUACAUGGAUAACCGUAGUAAUUCUAGAGCUAAUACAUGCACAAAAUCCCGACUUACGAAGGGAUGUAUUUAUUAGAUACAAACCAACAUCGUGGUGAUUCAUAAUAACUUUGCGAAUCGUAUGCCUCACGGCGACGAUGAAUCAUUCAAAUUUCUGCCCUAUCAACUUGGCUACCACAUCCAAGGAAGGCAGCAGG
rnacentral:rRNA from 1 species